CAUGUAUUUGUAUCUCUGCAAAAGACGACUGCAUUCGUAAUUGGGUUGUAUAAGCGUUUAGUAUACCACUAGGAUGCUCGGCACAAGUUUUUACCGCAGCGUCUCAUAGUCUUCAUUGAUGUGGAGUAGGGCAAAGGGAGUCGUAAUUUUUGGUAUCAAUGACCUUCACCGCGUUGUUGUCGUUGUCGUCGUCACAUUUAUUGUUGAUGGGCUACGGUGCUGUUUGCUUUCGUUAUUGGAAUGGAUAUUGGAGCGCACACAUACUCUUUACAAACGAUGUCAUGGUAAAAGAGAGUAGAGGAAUGCAAGCAGUUUGCUUUCAUACUUAGAACAUCAAUCGCGGUAAACGUUUAAUAACUUAUAAGUAUACUUGAAAAUAAUAGGCGAAAAAUUGCUAAAUUUGCACCGUAUAAGUUUAUACUCGCAUAACAUCUAACUCUUAUAAAUUAUGCCUGAAUCGGAAUCGGCUUGGAAGAGCGUACUCACCGAGGCAAAACAACAACUAUUAUCUCUCGCUGAUGCGCACGAAGUAAUGCAAGGAUGUGGUACAUUUUUAAAGAAGGUGUAAAAGCCUUGGGUUAAACGGUUAGCAAAUCAAAUUUUCAAGCUACCUGCAAAAACAAAUGCAGUGAAACAGGAUAUAACAUAGUUCACUAUAGCCGGGCAUAAUAACAACACGUAUGGUCGCCUGCUUGGACUUCAUCAAUUCUUUUUUCGGUUCUUUAAUAAUACUUUUGGAUGAAAUUUUUAAGAACUAAAGAAUUACUAUAAAAAACAUUUCGGACCUUACCAAUAAUUAUAAUUAUGUAAAUUAUAAUCAGCAUGUAAACAAAAAAAAUAGGUAGGUAUUGAAACAAAACAUUGA